rnacentral:rRNA from 1 species
AUUGAACGCUGGCGGCAUGCCUUACACAUGCAAAUCGAACGGCAGCACGGGUGCUUGCACCUGGUGGCGAGUGGCGAACGGGUGAGUAAUACAUCGGAACGUACCUUAUCGUGGGGGAUAACAAAUUGAAUAAUUUGCUAAUACCGCAUAAUACUCUGAGGAGGAAAGCGGGGGAUUCGUAAGAACCUCGCGCGAUUAGAGCGGCCGGUGGCUGAUUAGCUAGUUGGUGGGGUAAAGGCCCAACAAGGCAACGUUAAGUAGCAGGUCUGGGAGGAUGAUCUGCCCAACUGGAACUGAGAAACGGUCCAGACUCCUACGGGAGGCAGCAGUGGGGAAUUUUGGACAAUGGGGGCAACCCUGAUCCAGCAAUGCCGCGUGAGUGAAGAAGGCCUUCGGGUUGUAAAGCUCUUUUGUCAGUGAAGAAAACUUUAAUAAUAACACUAUUAAAGCAUGACGGUAACUGAAGAAUAAGGACCGGCUAACUACGUGCCAGCCGCCGCAGUAA